rnacentral:rRNA from 1 species
UACGGAGGAUGCGAGCGUUAUCCGGAUUUAUUGGGUUUAAAGGGUGCGUAGGCGGCCGAGUAAGUCAGCGGUGAAAUUUUGCAGCUUAACUGUAACAGUGCCGUUGAUACUGCAUGGCUAGGAUUUGGUUGCUGUGGGUGGAAUGUGUGGUGUAGCGGUGAAAUGCUUAGAUACCACACAGAAUAUCAAUUGCGAAGGCAGCUCACAAAGCCAAGAUUGACGCUGAGGCACGAAAGUGUGGGGAUCAAACA